UGUAUGUAUCGGAGCAUACACUUCAGGCAAGGGAAGAAAGCUUUAUUUAAAUCGCACUCUUCAUACACAAGGCAACUCAUUGUGCUUUACACAAGCAAAGACACUCCUACAAGGACUCACAAACACAACUGUUAAUGAUAUUCAGAAGCAAAGCAGAAAAAAAGUAGCUAACAAAAAUUACCAGAAUGUACACUGGCAGCAAUUUAGCACAUUGCCAGAAAACUUAAAAAUAAACGUUUCAAAGUAAAGUAAAAAAAAUAAAAGUAGUUUUCAAAAAUAACUAAAAGAAAAAUAAUUUAAAAUUGUUUAAAGGACCUCAUUCAAACUCAGAGGUUUUGUGGGUUUUGUCAUGGAGAAAAUUUGGGAAGCAGUACAGCGAUGAGGCGCAGAGACUUAACAUUAGUCUACAGUCCCUCAGUCAAUAAUUCAGAUUCAGAUUCUGAAAACUUUAUCUAUCCCCAUGGUGUAAUUUGGACUUAACAGGCAAGCUCUGCACAAGAAACAUGAAAAACAAUGACGAACAUGGGAGACAGUGCGAAGGGCCUGUCGGUACUCGCCAUAUGUACAGCGCCCCGAGAUCUUAGUUAAGAAAGUAAACACUAGGGAAAGAGAGGGAAAAAAACAUGCUCGAACUAUCUUCUUCUGAGGAUAAUUUAAGUCUUCGAGAAAAAGAAAUCCAUGCACGUCAAGCAUAUGACAUUUACAGCAAGUCACAAGACAUAAUAUGUAAUGAGGGGGCGGAUGGGUGGGGGGGGUGCGACGCGGCCCGACCGGCGUGCUUCCAGUCCAUCUAGAACAGGGCAGAUCAGGUCACGUCCCGGGGAAAUAAAAAAAGGAACGAUGAAGGCGGUGAUGAUAAGGAUGUGCCACAGCUGCUUCGUCAAGGUCUGCUCAUGGAGACAGUCCCAGCCUAUCAAUCCAUGGCCGAGAAGGAGGGGGCGAUGGUGGGGUCACUAGCUUCCGUGCGUACUUCCAUCCAGGGGAAAAAUUCCAAAUAGCGUCGUUUGUUUUGGAGGGACGGCCGCCAACAAUUUCAGGUGGCGUUUAGUCUGUGGCUGUAUCCCUUCACUGGCGCCGAUCAGCCAAAUCCGCCAUUACUUUCCGAAGCGCGGAUUCAACUUCUCCAGUUCAUAACCAUCAUACGGAGAUGCUCCAAAUCCGCAUCCAUUUGGGGUUGAGCUCAGUCAUCACUUGAGUCUGAGUGUUGUACAUCUGCGCCGUGCCAUCCCAAAAUGACCGGCAGCGUCUACUCCUUGGAUCCAAGUAGAUCCAAGGAGUGUCGAGGAGAAAAAAACAACAACCAAUUGUGUGGCUUUGUACAUGUUAGUAAUAUAUUUUUAUGCUGCACCCUAAUCAUCCUAUCAGUCUCAUUUUCACAAAAACAA